rnacentral:rRNA from 1 species
CCUACGGGCGGCAGCAGUGAGGAAUAUUGGUCAAUGGACGAGAGACUGAACCAGCCAAGCCGCGUGAAGGAUGACUGUCCUAUGGGUUGUAAACUUCUUUUAUAUGGGAAUAAAACAGGGUAUGCAUACCCUCUUGUAUGUACCAUAUGAAUAAGGAUCGGCUAACUCCGUGCCAGCAGCCGCGGUAAUACGGAGGAUACGAGCGUUAUCCGGAUUUAUUGGGUUUAAAGGGAGCGUAGGUGGACUGUUAAGUCAGUUGUGAAAGUUUGCGGCUCAACCGGUAAAUUGCAGUUGAACUUGGCAGUCUUGAGUUGGGGAGAGGUGGGCGGAAUUCGUGGUGUAGCGGUGAAAUGCGUAGAUAUCGCGAAGAACUCCGAUUGCGAAGGCAGCUCACUGGACUGCAACUGACGCUGAUGCGCGAAAGUGUGGGUAUCAAACAGGAUUAGAUACCCCUGUAGUC